GGGGCAGCAUGAACUUAGCUUGCUAAGUUUGAUGGCGACCGGCGCACGGGUGAGUAACACGUAUCCAACCUGCCGAUGACUCGGGGAUAGCCUUUCGAAAGAAAGAUUAAUACCCGAUGGCAUAAUUCUUCCGCAUGGUAGAAUUAUUAAAGAAUUUCGGUCAUCGAUGGGGAUGCGUUCCAUUAGGUUGUUGGCGGGGUAACGGCCCACCAAGCCUUCGAUGGAUAGGGGUUCUGAGAGGAAGGUCCCCCACAUUGGAACUGAGACACGGUCCAAACUCCUACGGGAGGCAGCAGUGAGGAAUAUUGGUCAAUGGACGAGAGUCUGAACCAGCCAAGUAGCGU
rnacentral:rRNA from 1 species